rnacentral:tRNA from 1 species
GGAAGUGGCGCAAUUGGUAGCGCAACGGUCUCCAAAACCGUAGGUUGUGGGUUCGAAUCCCGCCUUCCC